UUUCCGUAGGUGAACCUGCGGAAGGAUCAUUACCGAGUGAGGGCCCUCUGGGUCCCACCCCCCACCCGUGUUUAUCGUACCUUGUUGCUUCGGCGGGCCCGCCUCACGGCCGCCGGGGGGCACCCGCCCCCGGGCCCGCGCCCGCCGAAAACACCAUUGAACGCUGUCUGAAGAUUGCAGUCUGAGCAUCUUAGCUAAAUCAGUUAAAACUUUCAACAACGGAUCUCUUGGUUCCG
rnacentral:misc_RNA from 1 species